rnacentral:rRNA from 1 species
UACGAGGGGGGCAAGCGUUGUUCGGAAUUAUUGGGCGUAAAGGGUGCGUAGGCGGCGCGGUAUGUCUCUUGUGAAAUCUCCAGGCUCAACUUGGAGUCUGCAAGGGAAACUGCCGUGCUUGAGUACUGGAGAGGUGAGUGGAAUUCCCGGUGUAGCGGUGAAAUGCGUAGAUAUCAGGAGGAACACCAAUUGCGAAGGCAGCUCGCUGGGACGUUACUGACGCUGGAGAACGCGAAAGCGUGGGGAGCAAACAGG